rnacentral:rRNA from 1 species
UACGUAGGGCGCAAGCGUUGUCCGGAAUUAUUGGGCGUAAAGAGCUCGUAGGCGGCUUGUCACGUCGAUUGUGAAAGCCCGAGGCUUAACCUCGGGUCUGCAGUCGAUACGGGCUAGCUAGAGUGUGGUAGGGGAGAAUGGAAUUCCCGGUGUAGCGGUGAAAUGCGCAGAUAUCGGGAGGAACACCGGUGGCGAAGGCGGCGACCUGGGCCAAUAUUGACGCUGAGGUGCGAAAGCGUGGGGAGCAAACAGG